ensembl:lncRNA
UGUCACGGUAGGAAAUCCAUUGGUUCCUCCGUGUCAUGUUUUGUGUUUGUUUUUGUACUCACGUAGUCUCCAUGUGCUCGUUUGGUUGAUUGUUGUCACCUGUGUGUUGAUUGUCUCGCUCCAGCUGAUCCUCAUCUCCACUCAGCUACAUAAACUCACUCAUCUCUCUGUCUGUUGUCAGAUCCUCAUUCAUGUCUCAGCUUCCCAGUUGGAUUACCGUCUCCCGUGUUCGUGUUCUGGAUUGUGUUCGUGUUGUCGUCUUCGUGAACAUAAUGAGGUGGCAGCUGUAUUUUGUCUGUCCUUACAGGAGAACUGAUCAACAAUUGAUAUUCCUGAAGUCUUUUCCUAAUAAAUGCAUAGAUGUCCAAAACCUGCUGAUUAAUCCAUUUUGCACUGAGCUACUAGAUGAAUAUUUUAUGAAGUCUAAAUGUUACAUUAACCUCACUUCAAUUGUGUCAGUUUAGUUUAGCUUAAAGUGUUUGAGCUUGUCUGGUAGCAUGAUCAAGCCUGUCCCAACUGUAUUUGAAAUGUUCUUUCACAAGUGUUUUUGUGUUUGGCUAUAUAUAUUUUAGUUUUACAUUUUAUGAUGCUAAUUUAUAAAAAAUUUAAUGUGAAUGACUGAUUCUUUAAUAAAUCUUUAGAUAUUCAGAAAUGU